GAUGAACGCUGGCGGCGUGCCUAAUACAUGCAAGUCGAGCGAACGGACGAGAAGCUUGCUUCUCUGAUGUUAGCGGCGGACGGGUGAGUAACACGUGGAUAACCUACCUAUAAGACUGGGAUAACUUCGGGAAACCGGAGCUAAUACCGGAUGAUAUUUUGAACCGCAUGGUUCAAAAGUGAAAGACGGUCUUGCUGUCACUUAUAGAUGGAUCCGCGCAGCAUUAGCUAGUUGGUAAGGUAACGGCUUACCAAGGCAACGAUGCAUAGACGACCUGAGAGGGUGAUCGGCCACACUGGAACUGAGACACGGACCAGACUCCUACGGGAGGCAGCAGUAGGGAAUCUUCCGCAAUGGGCGAAAGCCUGACGGAGCAACGCCGCGUGAGUGAUGAAGGUCUUCGGAUCGUAAAAAUCUGUUAUUAGGGAAGAACAUAUGUGUAAGUAACUGUGCACAUAUUGACGGUACCUAAUCAGAAAGCAACGGCUAACUACGUG
rnacentral:rRNA from 1 species